AGAGUUUGAUCCUGGCUCAGGACGAACGCUGGCGGCGCGCCUAACACAUGCAAGUCGAACGAGCGAGAGAGAGCUUGCUUUCUCGAGCGAGUGGCGAACGGGUGAGUAACGCGUGAGGAACCUGCCUCAAAGAGGGGGACAACAGUUGGAAACGACUGCUAAUACCGCAUAAGCCCACGGUGCCGCAUGGCACAGAGGGAAAAGGAGCAAUCCGCUUUGAGAUGGCCUCGCGUCCGAUUAGCUAGUUGGUGAGGUAAUGGCCCACCAAGGCGACGAUCGGUAGCCGGACUGAGAGGUUGAACGGCCACAUUGGGACUGAGACACGGCCCAGACUCCUACGGGAGGCAGCAGUGGGGAAUAUUGCACAAUGGGGGAAACCCUGAUGCAGCGACGCCGCGUGGAGGAAGAAGGUCUUCGGAUUGUAAACUCCUGUUGUUGGGGAAGAUAAUGACGGUACCCAACAAGGAAGUGACGGCUAACUACGUGCCAGCAGCCGCGGUAAAACGUAGGUCACAAGCGUUGUCCGGAAUUACUGGGUGUAAAGGGAGCGCAGGCGGGAAGACAAGUUGGAAGUGAAAUCUAUGGGCUCAACCCAUAAACUGCUUUCAAAACUGUUUUUCUUGAGUAGUGCAGAGGUAGGCGGAAUUCCCGGUGUAGCGGUGGAAUGCGUAGAUAUCGGGAGGAACACCAGUGGCGAAGGCGGCCUACUGGGCACCAACUGACGCUGAGGCUCGAAAGUGUGGGUAGCAAACAGGAUUAGAUACCCUGGUAGUCCACACCGUAAACGAUGAUUACUAGGUGUUGGAGGAUUGACCCCUUCAGUGCCGCAGUUAACACAAUAAGUAAUCCACCUGGGGAGUACGACCGCAAG
rnacentral:rRNA from 1 species